rnacentral:lncRNA from 1 species
AAUCAUAAAUUCAUAAUGGCAUCAUCCACAAAUAUUUUCAUAAAUAGAUUAACAAAUUAUUCUUAAUGUUUUACAUUAAAUAUUCAUAUACACAUAAUUAGACCUUGACCGUCAGCGGAGUGACUCUGGUCACGAUUGAUAACACUUAGUGUCACGUUAAACCUACCGAGCAAUGUAUAGGGAGGAGCACCUCGUCCUAAGAUCCAACCACCUUUAACUCAGGAAACCUAAAACAUGAAUUUUAAAAAUAACGUGAGUACCAACUCAAUGAGUGAACAUAAGAGAGGAACAAGCAACAUUAAGGAAGGUUUUAGAAAACAUGAUGUACUUUUUUCAAAAAUAAUGCAAUUGAAUUAAUUUUUUACUAAAAACCCUCAUUCAAACCCUUGGUCAUUUAGUCAUUUGAUGACAAAAAACUUAUGAACAACAAAGAAGUUGAGAAGUGAAAACUUUAGUAGAAGUCAAACAAGUCAAGCAUAAUAGAUUGACUCUCACCGCAGCGAGAAGGCAUUCUCGCUGCAAUGAAAUUCUGGCCAGAUAAAAUCCAAGAGGCUUUCACUGCCAUCAGGAAACUUUCACUCAUGCCACAUUGCACAUUAAAUUGAACACAUUGACAAUACUCAAGCUUUCAAUAGUCAAUGCAAUCACAUAUUAAAUCCAAACAUCUCUAAACAGUAAACAUAUAUAUAUAUAAGCACAUACACCACCAUCACUUCACCCGGCUCAUGCACAUCCCCCCACAUCGUGCACAUAGCCGAACACCCCAUCGCAGCUAACUCAUGUGCAUCACUACCGGCAUGUGCACUGCCCACUCUACACAUAAACGGUUGUAAUUAUCACGACAUUGUCAUUCAACUGGCAUGUGCACUGUCCAUGCCGCACAUGCACGAUUAAAUUAUCACAACAUUGUCAUUCAACCGGCAUGUGCACUACCCACUCCGCACAUGCACGGUUACAAUUAUCACAACAUUGUCAUUCGAUCGACAUGUGCACUGCCCACUCUGCACAUGCAUGGUUACAAUUAUCACACAAUGGUACCAUUUAUGACAUAGUAUAUAUAUAUAUAUAUAUAUAUAUAUAUAUAUAUAUAUAUAUAUAUAUAUAUAUAUAUAUAUAUANAUCUUAAUACAUUUUUACCAAAAUUACUUAUAUCCAUUGCUUACGAAAUUCCUUAGAUUAUAUCACCGGCAACUUAUUAAUGAUGUCAGGUGCCUACUUCAACCUUUCUAAAUAAUUUCUGCCCAAAUCCAUCUUAUAUUUUCACACAUAAUCCACAUAUAUGGUAGCAACAAUCAUUCUCACUUUCACUCGAUUAUUUCCUAGUUUACAUGCAUCGUUAUAUAUCGAACUUUCAAUACUUUGUUUCUCAAUCCUCCAUCCACAAUAUUCCUUUUUCAUUUCUUUCAAACAACAUGCCAUACAAUCUUAAUAAAUUUCAACUAACUUAGGCAAAUAAAUCCUUUCAACAACCAUAAUUCCUCACAAUAUUCAACUAACCAUAGGCUCUAAAACAUAGUGUUAAGCUUACCGUUUUCCUUUUCUACUUUGAGUCCUUCAUGUACCCAUGGGUUUAUUGGCUUACAUGUUACCAAUUUUUCUCCAAUCAAGCCAAUCUUUGCUGCCACAAGACAUUUCUCUAAGUCACUAACUCAUUUUCAAAGACUACGCAAGCCAAAAACAAGAAUUCUUACCGUUCCUUGCUUGAAUCACCAAAACCAAGCUCUUUCUUCCUUUCUCUCUUUUUCUUUCUUCUCCUCCUAAGGUUUAUAUGUGCUGGAAAUUGGGGUUAAAGGCCGUAAAUUUAGUGCUCAAGAAGUUUGGAGAAGAAAGGAAAAGAAAACAUGGAAAGGAAAAUGAAGAAAACUUGGUUUCAUGGUGGACAAAGAGAAAAUGGCAUGGAAGCUUCAAGAAUGUUGUGGAGCAUGGAGGAGAAGAGGAAAAAAUCUUGCUGGAGGAUAUAAGAAUGGUUUUGGGUGGAAAAAAUCAGAGUCAAAGAUUCCUUCG